UGGGGAAUAUUGGACAAUGGGCGGAAGCCUGAUCCAGCAACGCCGCGUGAGGGAUGACGGCCUUCGGGUUGUAAACCUCUUUCAGUACCGACGAAGCGGAAGUGACGGUAGGUACAGAAGAAGCACCGGCCAACUACGUGCCAGCAGCCGCGGUAAUACGUAGGGUGCGAGCGUUGUCCGGAAUUAUUGGGCGUAAAGGGCUCGUAGGCGGUUUGUCGCGUCGGGAGUGAAAACACUGGGCUUAACUCAGUGCUUGCUUCCGAUACGGGCAGACUAGAGGCAUGCAGGGGAGAACGGAAUUCCUGGUGUAGCGGUGAAAUGCGCAGAUAUCAGGAGGAACACCGGUGGCGAAGGCGGUUCUCUGGGCAUGUCCUGACGCUGAGGAGCGAAAAGUGUGGGGAGCGAACAGGAUUAGAUACCCUGGUAGUCCACACCGUAAAACGUUGGGCGCUAGGUGUGGGGCCUAUUCCAUGGGUUCCGUGCCGCAGCUAACGCAUUAAGCGCCCCGCCUGGGGAGUACGGCCGCAAGGCUAAAAACUCAAAUGAAUUGACGGGGUCAUAGCUGUUUCCU
rnacentral:rRNA from 1 species